AAAAAAUGCCUCCGCUGAGCGAUGAGGGAGCCGAUAACGGUGUUGUAUUCGGAGACGUUGUUGGCGUAGUUCCGGCGCUCGUACUCCUUUGCGUCGACGGAGAAGGGGCGGGACUGUGUGAGUCGGGCGAGAGAUCGGCAUUGGCGAGCUGAGAAUCUCUGCAGGAGGUUCAUGGCAGGCGCCGGGUAGAGCUCUGGUGGUGUUUGAUGGAAUGACUGAGAGAACAGCUGAUGGAAUUGGGAGUGAAGGGAGAGGUGU
rnacentral:misc_RNA from 1 species